UGCUUAACUUUGAGGAUUUAAUUCUAAAGUUAGGGUGAAUGUUUUAAGCUAUAAUUUAAUAUGUUUAUCUUUUGGUAUGUUUAGACCAUAGAUUAAUUUCGUGUAACUUGGUUUGAGGUUUAGUACUCAAAGGAGGGGUUCUAAACCAUGCAACGGUUGUAUUUAUGAAGCUGUUUUGUUCAACAUGUUGUAUGAUGAAUGUAUUUUGUGUUUGUGGAAACCUCGUUGAGGUGGGAUUAGGAUUUUCUUGAUUAUAAGAGAUAGGCUUUGAGAUUAAAGUGUAAGUUUAUGAAAAGGAAUUAUGGAUAGUAAUAAACUUUGAUAUUUGGUUUAGGUGUUACCAGUUCCCCAGGUUUAAGCUCCGUCGACUGUAGGCUCUUCGUUCCUCUGCUUUCAGUUAGCAGGUUUUAUUUUGGAGCAGAGGGAGCCUUAGUCGAGUUUGGAAGGAGCUGAUUUUAGUUUUAUAUGUAUAGAUCCUAAAUUAGACAUUUGAUGUUUAGCUUUGUAGUAUUGUGUAUUUUAGGAUCUAAUGAAAGUUGUGUACCUUAAAGUAUUAAAAGAUGUAUCAUGUGAAAGUGUGGAAAUUAAAUGAUUGGUGGAUUAUGUUAUAUUU